rnacentral:ncRNA from 1 species
UGUCUUCAGGGCAGGGUGCAAUUCCCGACCGGCGGUAUAGUCCGCGAGCGCAAGCUGAACCGGUGAAACUCCGGUACCGACAGUAAGGCCAGUUCUGGCACGAGUCUGGAUGGAAGAAGAUG